UACGGAGGGUGCAAGCGUUAAUCGGAAUUACUGGGCGUAAAGCGCACGUAGGUGGUUUGUUAAGCCAGCUGUGAAAUCCCCGGGCUCAACCUGGGCACUGCAGUCGGAACUGGCAAGCUAGAGUAGGGUAGAGGGGUGUGGAAUUCCAGGUGUAGCGGUGAAAUGCGUAGAUAUCUGGAGGAACAUCAGUGGCGAAGGCGACACCCUGGACUCAUAAUGACACUGAGGUGCGAAAGCGUGGGGAGCAAACAGG
rnacentral:rRNA from 1 species